rnacentral:lncRNA from 1 species
UCUCCUUCGUCCAUCCUCCAUUAUUGAGGGCUCAUGGCUGUGCAGAGCUGUGUGUCUUAGUGAGGUGGGCCCAGAGGCGGUGGGAAUUCCCAGUGGAGAGAACCAGGAUUCCUUUCCCUUCUCCAUCGUCUGGCUUCAUCACUUGUGUAAGGUCUCUAGGAUCGUAUCUCUACUCUUUUCUCAGAUACCUUCAAGCGCCUUCCCUAGGCUUGCUUCACAGCUGUCAUUGGGACCUUGUUUCUUGGUUACUCCAUUUUCCUAGGAGACUCUCCCCCUUACUGGGUUUGAUGAAGCAAGGAGCCAAGAGUGGCCUCCGGCUGACAGCCAGCAAGAACCUGAAGCCCUCUGGCCAAUAGGUCAUAAAGAACUGAAUUUUAUCAACAAUUACAUGAACUCGAAAGCAGAUCCUUUUCCAGUUGAGCCUUGAGAUGAGAUCAUAGCCCUGGCUGACACACUGACAACAGCUUUCAGAUGAGACCCUGAAGUGGAGAGCCCUGUAAAGCUGUACCCAGACUCCUAACCCACAGACAAUCUGAGACAAUGUGUAUUGUUUUAAGCUGCUAAAUUGGUGGUAGUAUUGUCACACAGCAAUAAAUAAUACAUUCCCUUUCUGAGUUCUGGUCAUAGCCUCUAUCUAGUCAGACAGGCAUCCUCAGCUUCUCUGGCCUCCCUUAGAUCCACAAGGCCUUCUCUUAGGGCACACUUCACUCACUCACACUAUGGAAAUUCAUGUCCAUAGUUACCAGGUUGCAGAGGAACUCUCAGCUUUACACCUCUUCUGGCCACAGGCUCCCCAUACUGAAGAUACUGGCCUGAAUACCUGACUACUGCUACCAGGGCUGGCAAAAGGUGGCUGUUGAACUGUCUUCUUAGUAUCACGUAUCUGUACUAAUUCCUCCCGAGGCAGCCCUCCUAACAUCACUGGGCAUCCCAGACAUUCAGGCCCUCUGGCCCUCCCUCCCUAGAGGGAUCCUUGGCUCCUGGUCCACAGUGGGCAGCAAUCUGGCCCUCAGGUCACUGUCUUAGGCUGGAAACUACUCAAAGACUUUGCUCUGCAAAUGGAGAGUGGUGCCAAUUCAAUCUCCACAGGAGUCGGUUUCCCUUAAGUUUGCUUUCUUUUCUUAAAACAAGCUUCUAUUACACAGUAACACAUGAAUACAUUCUCCUAGUUAAAAAAGAAAAAUGUCCUUAGC